rnacentral:lncRNA from 1 species
GCCGCUGCAAAUACCAAAAGCUGUCCUCAUUGAGUCAUCCCUCCCAGAGCAGGAAGAGCAGAGGUUCUGGGAAACAACCCCAAGGAGAGAGACAGGGCAUUUAUAAAACAGCAUGUAAGCAUCUCUGCAGUUGCUGUCCCCAGAGCCCACUUCCUGGAUAUUGCCAGCUGCCUGGACCAACCUUUCCGAAAGAUCAGCCAGGUCACAGUGAGGGUCAAAGGUGAGGCAACACCCGGCCUGCUUCAGCUUGCCCCCCGUGGGCUGCACCCACUGUCCAACCAGUCCCAAUGAGAUGAACCAGAACAUUGGCAAGCACGUUGAUAGAGUGCCCACAUUGUACUGAACUCUGAGGGGAAUAGUCUCGUCCCCAUCACUCAGGUGGGGAAACUGAGCAGGAGGCCACUGGAGGCUCCAAGGGCUCUGAAAUGUUGAGAACUUCCCUGCAGGUACCAGCGAAGAGGGCAAGAACACAGCACUACUUCCUUGGAUACUGUUUCCCUCCUCAGAGGGGUUUUCUGAGCUGCCCUGGGUCCUGUGAGGAAGAUCUCCCCUUCCUGUAAAGACACCAGUCCUACUGGAUCAGGGCCCACCCGUGUGACUUCACUUUUACUUGAGUACCUCUCACAGACCCUAACUCCAAAUCAGGUCACUUGCUGAGGUACUGCAUGUGAAGACUUUGACAUUUGAAUUUUGAGGGGGCCACCGUUUAACCUGAACCACCAAGGACAGAGCCAAAGACCCUGGGUGACAGGCCCAGAACAGGACCUGGUGGAGGCUCUUCUUUAGGGGAGAGAGGGAAAUGGGAGCCACCACUGGCAGAGCCUGAAGGCAGGGCAGCCAGAAAGAAGCUGUGGGAGUCCCCACCAUGGAAGACCCUGCCGAGCAUCCUGUGUCUCCUGAAGCAGACCCUGACAUGAGGACUGGGGGCACGUGUUUAUUAAGGGCGAUCCCCGGAAGGAGGAGAUAACCAGGCAGAAGUCCUAGCAGAGUAUGCCCACGCUGGUUAGUGCUGCUGCAAAGAUGAGCCGAAGACCAUGAGAGACCUCCAGGUGGUCCUUCUGGGGAGAAGAAAUGGGUUUUGGCCCCAAAUCCUUCUGCUGCAUUUUUCCCCUAUCCCUGGGAAGCCAUGAGACCUCAAACCUGUGUUCCCAAGGAGGCGAGCUGCUGUUCCCAGGUGAUGAUAUGAUGUGCUUGGGGAAAGUAAGUGGCUGCCAGACAUGGCUGAGAGCUGUUGUCACUGCCGUCAAGUGCAUGUCUCCAAGCCAUAUCACACGGCGUCCCUCGAUGUGAGGCCACAUGGCAAGUGGGCCGUGGAUCUCCCUCUGCCCUUUGCAAGCACGUAAGACAGCAGAUUUUGCAGAUACCUUGUGGCGCAGGGGAAUUUCCUUUGGCCAGGUCUGAAGAAAUAAAGCAGCAGGCACCGAGAACAAAGCCAAGGCUUUCAAAAGACAAGGAGCCAAAAAACUUACUCAAAAUAAAAGUAGUUUUAAAAUGUC